UACGGGGGGGGUAAGCGUUGUUCGGAAUUACUGGGCGUAAAGGGCUCGUAGGCGGCCAACUAAGUCAUACGUGAAAUCCCUCAGCUUAACCGGGGAACUGCAUCUGAUACUGGAUGGCUUGAGAUUGGGAGAGGGAUGCGGAAUUCCAGGUGUAGCGGUGAAAUGCGUAGAUAUCUGGAGGAACACCGGUGGCGAAGGCGGCAUCCUGGACCGGCAUUGACGCUGAGGCGCGAAAGCCAGGGGAGCAAACGGG
rnacentral:rRNA from 1 species